ACUGAUUUGAGAGUUUGAUCCUGGCUCAGGACGAACGCUGGCGGCGUGCCUAAUACAUGCAAGUCGCGCGGCUUGAAUCGGAGCUUGCUCUGAGGAUGGCAGCGGCGGACGGGUGAGUAACACGUGGGCAACCUGCCUGACAGACCGGGAUAACGCCUGGAAACGGGUGCUAAUA
rnacentral:rRNA from 1 species